UACGUAGGGAGCGAGCGUUGUCCGGAUUCAUUGGGCGUAAAGAGCUCGUAGGCGGCUUGGCAAGUCGGGUGUGAAAACUCCAGGCUCAACCUGGAGACGCCACCUGAUACUGCCAUGGCUAGAGUCCGGUAGGGGACCACGGAAUUCCUGGUGUAGCGGUGAAAUGCGCAGAUAUCAGGAGGAACACCGGUGGCGAAGGCGGCUCUCUGGACCGAGACUGACGCUGAGGCGCGAAAGCGUGGGGAGCAAACAGG
rnacentral:rRNA from 1 species